rnacentral:lncRNA from 1 species
AAAACAAUCCUGUUACUACAGUAGCUUCAAACCGCUUGCUUCCAGCCUAUAGAAGCAACUGUAUUGAAAUAGACACCAAUUAUGUAGACCAUAUGGGAAACCAUAACCAGAUUCUGACUGUAGUAAUAAAACUAGAUAAUCUGCUUUGGACCUAGAAGUGAAAUUAUUGAACAUACAGUCUGUAUCAAAGUGAGGAUCAGCAGGGCAGCUGCAGCAACAAUACCGGUACCUCUCCAAAGAUUGCUGAAAUAUACAAGUUUCAAGGUUGCCUUUCUAUGGUUGCACCUGUUCUCAUAGUAGGCAUUCAAAUCAACACAAAGAUCAUGAUAACAAGUGAAAAAUUCAUUAAUUUGCUAGCAAAGCCGGUUAAUCAAAUCGGCAACCAUGGCAUUGUUUCCUAGCCAGUUAUCAAUCACCCCCACUUUAACCAGCAAAUCCACAUCUUCUUCAGUGUUGAUAAGAUGGUCCAUUAACAUAAAGUAAUUGCAUAUGUAAGUACUAUAUGGGUAGUGGCACUGCUCAUAUGCCAUGAGGUUUCGUGUCACAUAUUCAAAGCUCUGAUUUACUUCAAAGCGUGGCUUUUUCAACACUCCGUUGACAAAAUUUAUGUCGAGUACACAACUGUUUUCAGUUGCCUCAAACUUCAAUCCUGCUUUAUGAAGCAUGGUUGCACUGUAUUUCAAUUUGACAUUGGCACUAGGACGACGAGGUAAUAUCUCCAGGAAAAGUAAGGUUAGCUUGUGUUUCAGGGUCUGCAUAGGUUUUCUCGUAUAUUUUCUCCAGAAUGAAAUAAGGUAGCUGAUUUUCAAGUAGUAUCAAGUCCACUUGUAAACCAAACAUCAUCCGAGGCUCAGGUAAUAUAGGAACUUCUUCACAGAAAAGGUUAAGGAACUGCAACAAGAAUUCGAUGACGAAUACAGCAUCCAACAGAAUCAUCUUUACAAAAUCGUCACAGCUACGAUUGAAGUUAUAACAGCCUCGAAUUUCCAUUUCAUUCUUCUGAACUAUGGUCACAAGAUCGUCCAAUGUCACCUUCUUCCCAUCCAUGAAUUCUGCUAAAUAUGUCAAUUUCUGCUUCUCCAUGGACACUAGUUCCUCAUGGCCACAGUGAGCAGGGCCCAGUGAAACUACUUGUGGGGUGUAGGCUUUCGGUUCUAUGCUUCGAAGUGAGCGGGGUACCUCGUAGAUACAGUGCUCGGGACAUUUUCCAGGUUUGAACCUUGCUAUCCCAUCUGCUAGAUCUUUUUUUUUUAUUUUUUAUAGUAAUCGAGAAUAUUAUAAAUAAUACGCCCCAUUAAGGAGAUGAGGGCUGAUAAGGAAGAUUACAUGGGAAAUUAAAAACACAUUAAGAAAACAAGGAAUCUAAAGACCUGACUAGUUAGUCCAGUUCAUAAUACAUUCAGGAUUCCUAUAAAGAUUAGAGCCCGUAUAGUUGAAAUUUUUAACAAAGGAUUUCAACCAAAAGGCCAACCGAUGAAAGGUGAGGUCAAAAAUCACAUCCUAGUCUGGAGUUUUGUUGUCAAAGAUCAUGUGGUUGCGCGCUAUCCAAAUUGACCAAUAUAAUCCUUUACAGAGAAGGGUAAUUGCCUGACGCUGAAAUUUUCUUUUUACCAUGUUGGACCAUUCCUGAAGGUUAUGAUAUGGUUCUUUUGGCAGACAACCUACACACCCAAACCAACUAAAUAGUCUCCCCAAAGAGACCAUGAAUUUGGACAAAGAUGGAAAAGAUGAUGUGGUCUCAAUCUCCUUGCAGCAGAAAGGACAAAGAGCUUCCUCGUAAUUGAUGAUUCUCCUCUCAGCUAAGAAACCUUUUGUGCAGACACUGCCAUUAGAAAAAAGCCAUUUGAACACAUCUAUUUUUGGAGGCGCAAACCCUUUCCAAAGCAAAGCAGGGGAGUGAAGAUGUCCUGAAACAUUUAAACCGUCAAAGAGAUGGCACCCAGAGGAGACUGUGUAAUUAUUGAAGCUGUGGUGUUUCCAAAUCUUGUUGUCUUCACCAUCAGAGAAGACUAGGCCACGUUCCACUUCUGCUAUCAAGCUUUCAUACAUGCAGAGUUCUCGGGAUCGAAGUAGUCUUUUCCAAGAAAGAUUGAUUGAGUUAUCUGUUGGGUUAUGAACUUCUGCAACGUUUAAAGAUUGCUGCAGGGAAAGGUUGUAGAGCCUAGGGAACAUGAACUGGAGAGGGACUGCAUAGCCUAGCCAAGAAUCAGACCAAAACCUGAUGUUUCUCCCAUCACCCACCUUAAACCCAACAUUGGAUUAGAUGGGAACGGCUAUGCUGUGAUUUAAGAAAAUUGCAGAUACCAUGCCACGCCAAGUUGGAGAUAAAGAACCUGCAAACACAGGAAGACCAUUUGUAAAAUGUGGCCGGUACUUUCAUAAAAUGAGCUCUUGCCAACCUCCUACCACUCUUUUGUUAAGGUUCCAAAGCCAUUUAAACAUCAGAGCCAGAUUUUUACUGUGAAUAUAACAUUUGAAGCACUUGCCGCUUCAAUCUCCUUUCCCGUGUUUGAAGCACUUUUGCCUGAUCAAUCCUGUUUUCAUUAUUUGAACGUGUUGCCAUGCCAAUAUCCUUAUUUUAAGCACUUGGGGUAUUAAUAUUGUUUUCCAUUUGUCAACAGAUUUUUGUCCUGGAGAGACAGCCAAUUGAAUCACUGGCGAUAAAAAUAUAUCUCCAAAUCAAGUGUACCAUGGUUGCUACAAUCUUCCAUUCAUUUCAAUUCACAUUUAAAACGAUCGAUUUAUUUUUGUUUUCCAGCCACUCUUAACAAGUUUUAAGACCAGAUCAAACAAAUCAAAACAACGGUACCAUGGAGAAGAGUUCAACGUUUGUAUGUCUCUCUUUCAAUCUAACUUCUAUUCAGUAACAUUUACUUAAAUAUCUACUAUUUAUUAGAAUUGCAGUGUUGAUCAUCUUUCUAACUUUAUUUAUACUUCUAGAAUCCAUUUCACUUUUUGCACAACAUGUCUCAUAAAACUAAUUUUUUAAAGAAAAACACUUAAAAAAUUAAAAAGGAAUAUUAAAGUAUAGAUGUGCAAGUCAGGCUCAAACUUUAUUAAUGUGUUUAUUAUUAUGAUAGUAAUUAUUUUUUAAAGUAUUUUUAAAAAAUAUAUAUAUAUAUUAAUAUUUUUUUAUUUUUUAAACUUAUUGUUAACUUCAACGUAUAAAAACAAUUUAAAAACAUUAAAAUAAAUUAAUUUUAAUAAAAAAGCCAAAAUUGUUUUCUGCCGAGUAUAGAACCGUUUUGGAAUAUUUAUUGCUGAAGCAAUGUAAUUGCCGUUUCCGAAGGAAAGCUGCGCGCUGGGAUAUUUUUACGUACACAAUUCCUUCGGAAGUAGUAUGUAUGGAUAUCCUACACAGCUUAUCAGCUGUGAUCUUACGAGAGAAUCUUAAUCUUUCGUUAUAAUGGAGCAAUUAACCUCGCAGGGUAGGGGAGAUCAGCCAAGUAAUCGAGAACUCAUGAGGGUUAAAGCCUAAAAGACGAACUUCAUUUAUCAUUAAGAAGUAAGAACCGCUAAAUUAAGGCUUAAUUGAAAACUUUAAACAAAUAUAUUUGGUGAAACAAAAGAUGAACAUGAACAGAAAGAAAAAAGAACACUAAAAGUAGCUAGUGCGCAAAGAGCCUAAGUGCCUUUACCCGAGGAAAGCAAUUGUUUUGUUGUAAGCAGCACACAGCCCCUUCCCUGGAUAUUGCUAUACUGAUCUGUUGAAUGCAGCCUCCCUCUCUCACUCUCUCUGUCUCACUAAUAUGUAUAAUAUACGAGUAGUAUUCUUCUCUCUCUAGUUGUCAUUGUUUCUCUCUCGUUUGGAAAUUACCGUCUUUUCAUUUUUUUUUAGCUUCCAUCCAUGGCUUUUCAUAGUUUUUAAUAUCGUAGUUUUUUUCACGCUUAACUCUACGUAACUUUAUAGUUAUUUUCAAAAGGAAAUGAAGACAUUGAUCUAAGAAAUGCAUUUUUUUUUCCUUUUAAAAUCCAAAUCUUUCUAACUCUUACGAAUAUUGAUUUUAAUUAUUACAUGAUUAAAUAAAAAUUAGUUUUUGAAAUUACCCCCACAACAUCAUGCGGGCGGAAAAGCUGCUGUAAUCUAAUCAAGAACGAUGACAAGACCAUUCUAUUAUAUUACUAACAAAGACCAAGUGAAUGACUUCUACGUGAUAACGGGACGGGAUUGAUAAAGAAAGGCAAAGGUGUCUGUAUCCGUUGUGGGUUACUCUCUCUCUCUCUCUUUCGAACAACAGUGGCUGUGGUGGGGAUGGGACUUGGGAUUUUGGUGAACGAUGAUAAUCAGAUGUGGGGGCAUUUUAUUAUAAAUAUUAUCUGAGCAUCCUAUGGCAUAGCCCACUGUAAUGAAGUGACUAGUGGCACGUGGGUGGGCCUUAAGUCUAGAAUUGUGUUCUUGGACUUGAUUUUUUUUUUUUUUAUUUUAUGUUUUAAAGGGUUGGAUAUCAUUUUUUCUUUAAAAAAUACGUGAGCAAUAAGUCACCUGCUGAGGCACGUAACAUUUUAUCUACUAGUCUUGAUUACAACUACUACUGUGAUAGCUGAAAAAUCAGGUUAAUAUAUAUAUUUUUUUAAUAAAUUCAAUUUUUAAGUCCUUUGAAUUCAAAACACCUCAUGAAUAUCUUGAAACACCUAAAAACCAAUUUAUCAACCAAAACCACCUCAAAAAAUCCAAAAACCCAAUACAAAUUAAAUCUCCUAACCUAAUACAUCAAAUUUUCAACACAAAAUUAAGAAACCUCACAAACUAGAUAACCAGGGUCCAUUGAUCAAUAAAAAAACAACACCAAUAUUCCAUUCCAUGGUGGUUUGAUCAGCAAGAAGGCCCUUCAUUAAAGGAUCCUACGCCUCUCGAGAGUCGACUUCUUUCAGAUAGAAGAAUAUUACUACCAGUCAAGAUCGAGGGAGCAAUGAGCUGGAUCCAUCUUUUCUUCUUGACAUUGACCAAUGCCGAGAAAAGACAGAGGAGAUGGAGAAUUAAUUAGUGGAGAGCAAUGCAAUCAGCUUUCAAAACGAGAGUAGUUUAUCUUGCCCUCCCUCUUGAAGCUUCAAAUGAAAUGGAUCUUUAAUGCCGUCGUUGCAAGGCCAAACUCGGUAACUAUGGGAGUGUUUGGCAUUGCGUUUGUACCUGUGUUUUGUCAAAUUUUGAUUAUUUUUUUUUUGGCUAAAAUUGAGUUCGGUUUGUACUUUUUAGAUUGUUUUGAUGUGCUGAUGUCAAAAAUGAUUUUUAAAAAAUGAAAAAACAUCAUUGGCAUGCUUUUCGGCACGAAAAGAUAUUUGAAAAGCAACCACUAUCACACUAUCAAACACGCUCUAUACCGAGAUAUGGAUAACUUCUUUUUUUUAUAUAAAAACAAGUUAAAAUUUAAAAUGAUAUUAUUUUAUUAAAAAAAUAGACUAUUUUUUAUCCAAACUGUUGAGAAUAAUAGAAUGUAUUAAAUUGUACUUUUAGACAACUUUUCUAUUUAUAUAUAUACAACAAAAUAAGACAGUAAUUAUAGGGAUUACAACAUUAAAAUAAUUCUAUAUUAAUUUUCUAUUCUAAUAUAUACAUGCUAUAAAUUCUAUAAUAUCUAUGUUUGCUUCUUGAAAUAGACAUUGUUUUAACCAAGCAAAGUUCUUAUUUUCUUCGAGUUAUUGAGUUAAACCAUAAGUCAGCUAGAUAUUACUUACUAGUUUAUCACUUAUCUUUUUGCACCAGGUUGGACAUAAUUUUUUUGGAAUAUAAAACAAAAUCUAGAUUAUCAGAAAUUUUUAAGUAUUAUCAUUAAAUUUAGUAUAAAUAUUUAAAUUUGAAAAAUCUUAAUUUGACUAUUUUUUUUAAAUAUUUAGUUAGUGUUUCAAGCUCGCAACAUGAAUUAUGUAUUCAAUUAUGUACUCAAUUGACUUUGAUUAAUUAUUUUUUAUUUGAUGAUAAAAAACACAAAAAAUAAUUUAUCAUUAAUUCAAUACUCAAGAAUAAAAUUCAAUAAAAAUCUCAAAUUAAAUGAUGCAAUUAGAAAAAAGGGUAAAAGAUAAACAAAAUAGCAAAAAAAUAUGUCAAAAAUUUUUUAAAAAUAAAAAUAUUAAUUUAAUAUAUUUAUAAAUAAAAAACAUUUUUAAAAACCAAACAUUACUAUCCCACCAAACAUUACUAUCCCACCGAACACCACAUUAACCAAUAUGUUAUAAAAAAUCUCAAGGGGUCCAUUCCAUAGUAGUGGUAUGACACAGUUAGCAAUUGUGUCUUUAAAUAAAAUAAAAAUAAAGUAGCCAAUCCUAUCCCAGAUAGUGACAUUAUAUUUUUUUUCCCAUUUCUUUUUAUUGAACAAUCGUCAAAUUUCUCACACAGAGAUUAAAUUAUCCAAUAAAAACAAGUUAUUUAUACAAAUCUUAAUGUAAUAUUUAGCAUGUUGACAAUAUUAAUUGGACCUAGUUGUCUUGUGUUAGAUGUUCUUUGAACUGUAUUGAAUCUUUUGUCUUAUUAUAAUUUUGAUUGACAUUGAACGAGACUUAAUCAAGCCUAUAUCUGGUUCGGUCCAGAUUUUAAAAAAAAAAAUAGAUGAAAUAUUGGUCAGAUCUAAUAUAGUAAAAAUCCCAAAUUGACAUGCAACUCAAACGACUUGAGAUAAAACACGAAUAAGAAAUUCAUUGAUUUUUUUAUUUAUUAAAAUAAUUUUUUUUUGAUUUUUUUUUGAUUUGGAUAAACUUGGUUGAUCACCUCUUCUCAGUAACCCAAGCCUUACUUUCAAGUUAAGUUUUAAAACUAUAAUAAUAAUUAUUUUUAUACAAACAUUAACUUAGAUCAACCAGAGUUGACCCUUUAGACCAGUGAAAUAAGCAUUAUCCCAGGUUGACCUUCAAGUUGGAUUUUAAAACUAUGUUAUAGAUAUUAUGUGAAAAUACAGUUUCUCCUUUGUUUUUUUUAUCUUUUUUUUCCUUUUCUUUUUAAUUUUUAAAAAAUUCCUUUCAUUGCUAUUUCUUUUACAUUGAAAAAAGUUUUUAAAUUGAUUUUUUUUUUAUGGUUUAAUCAUUCGACAUUUAAUUGGUCGAGUGUUUAGCUUCUUGGUUGAGCUUUUAUCUAGAUUUUAACAUAUUGUAGGUUUGAGAGAUUUAUCUGGGUUCAUUUAUUUUUUUAGCCAUUUUUUAAGCUCCUUUUAGUUUCCCCAAUAUGUUUUUUUGGUCUUUGUUAAAUUUAUAUUUUUUAAAAUGAAUUUUAUUUUUAAUUAAAUUAAAUUAAUUUAUUUCAUCAGUCGAUAUUAAACUAGUUAGGUGUUGAGUCUUCUUGGAUGAGCUCGAGUCUAAAAUUUAAUCGAUUGCAAGUUCGAGAGAUUAACCGGGAUUUAAAACGCUCACCUGUGCUUUUUUUCUUAAGCUCUUUUUUUGUUUCAUUUUCUAACAUUGUUUUGCUUCUUCUUCUUGUUUUUUUUGUCUAUAGAAUUUUUUAGUUGUUUUGAAAAUAAUACGGGUUAUCUCGAGUUUUUAUUUUUUUGUAUUUGUUGAAUUCAAAUGUUUUAAAAGUAAUUUUGUUUUUUAAUCAAAUCAAAUUAAUUGAUUAAAUAUAAAUAUAAAAUGCUUGUUUCAUUGUAUUUUAUUUUUUAAUUAAAUUAAAUUAAUUUAUUUUAUUGUUUGACAUUAAACUGGUCAGGAGUUGAGUUUUUUUGAAAUGAGCUUGGGUCUACAAUUUAAUGGAUUGCGGGUUUAAAAGAUUAACCCGAGUUUAAAAGGCACACCUAAGCUCUUUUUUUUUUUUAGCUUUUUCUUUCAUCGUCAAACAUUGUUUUGCUUUUUUUUUUUUUUUACUUUCUAUAUAAUUUUUUAGUCGGUUUGAAAAUAACAUGGGUUAUCUUAAGUUAUUUUUGGAUUUAAUUUGUUGAAUUAAUUUUUUUUAAUUAAAUUAAAUUAAUUAAUUAAAUAUAAAUAUAAAACACUCAUUUCAUAAUAUUUUAUUUUAUUUACUUUUUGGAAAGUCAUCUUGAACUGAUACCGUAUAAUUAAUGAACACAUGGCAAUACCUUCAGUCCGCGAGUGCUCUUUGCCUUGCCUCAAUUGAGUGACGUCCUAAUUUGCCUCAGCUGAAAGACAUCAUAUAUUCUCUAAUCAUCACCAAACUGCUCUCUAAUCACCAAAAAAUUAAAAAGAAAAGAAAAGGCAAAUAUAACGUGCUAGGUUCAUGAUUUGUUUCUUAAUUAUUUUUUAAUUGUAAGUUGAAACUCAUUUGACGUAUUGCUGAAACUUAAGUUUAUUUUUUAAUGAAGGCCUUCGAGAGUCUAAGGUUGUCCCCAUGCGUGAACUGUUAUUUUUGUUUCUAUACAUUACUCUGAUGAAAUGAAAAUUAAAUAUUUUUCUUCUGGUGUUAUAAUUAGUGUAAACAACUCUAGGCAAUGCUUUUUUAUUAUUCCUAUGAGAGGUUAAGGUUAAGGCACUAGAGGAGCUAUAAAUUUUUAAAUGAUAAGGUACCAAAAUUAUUCACAAUUAAUGUUGUUGUUGGUGACUUGUUAUUUUGUAUAAGUGAAUUAAAUAUAAAUAUAAAAUAUAUUUUUUUAAUUUAUUUAUAAUAUCUUUAAUUUUUUGAGUUGUUUUGUAUUUUAUUUUUAAUCACUAGUAAAUUUAUCACUAUUAUUUUUCAUAAGAAAUUCAUAGUGAAAUACUUAUCAAUUCAUCAAAACUCAUUUCAAUCCAUAUUCAUUAGCAUAUGAUAUUACCCAUAUACAUAUCAAUUCAUCAAAACUCAUUUCAAUUCAUAUCAAUUAGCAUAUACACAUAUUAAUUCAACAAACUAAAAAUUUAUUAUAAACCCAACAUUUUCAAUAACUAGUUAUUCAAAAGUUAUUUGCUUAACUAAUUAAUAGCUUAGGAGUUGAAGAGAAAUUUUAUAAAAAAGAGAGAGUAGGGACAAUAGUGAAAAAUAAAACAGAGCUUGGAUCAAUUAGCAGCUAAUAAAUUAAGAAAACUAACCCUAUAAAGUUAUUAUAUUAAUAUUUUAAUAUAAAAUACUUAAAAAUAAAAAAAGACUAAGGGGGCAAUUGCCCCUCUCUUGCCACAUUGUGGAUAAUCGAACAUUUGGUAAAUAAAAACAAAUUAUGUGUAAAUAUUUUUAUUGAAGUGUCUUGCAAAUGGGCCAACUGUAAUAGAGAGAAAAAAAAAGUUGGCAUAAAAUAGAAAUUGUUUUGGAACGUAAUAAAAUAUUGACACCGACAAUCAAUUAAAGAUGCUCUUAAUUAAUUAAUUUUUACAUUACUGAAAUAAAUUAAGAGAGUAGUGGAGAGGGGAGGACUCCUCCUCCUAUAUAUAACAUGCACAAGAGACACAAGUUACAGAGAAUGGAAGUGUGAGAGAGGCUGCCAUUUUUCAGCUAAAGCAGUAUAUAUUGCGUCCAGGAUCAGAGGAAGCUCUGCUGUUUGAUCUCCAUUUGUAAAAUAUUAUUACAGUUUUUCACAGGCCAGGUACUCGGUUUCUCUGUGUUUUUUUUUUCCCUUUCAUUAUUUUUAUUCAGCGUAUAAUUUCUUUUUAUUUCAAUAAAGCUAGUUUUUAAAUUACUGCAUGAUGUAAGUUGUUAAUUAACUCGUUAAUUAAAUAAAUUACCAUGAGCAACCUGACCCUACCCUCGUGUGAAUAUCGGGUUUAAUGAUUAAUUAAGAGGUAUACUCCUUUCUUUGUUAAUUAUUGAGUUUAAAGUUGGUUUAGUUUGUAAGGGAAUAAAGAAGCAAACAAUUUUUAUCUCAUAUUAAAAAUAAUUUUUUUAAAAUUUUUCUAAGUGUGAAUUUUUAUUAUAUAGUAAAUUAAGUGAAAAUUAUAGUGGGUAAGCUUUUUUUAGUGUGCUUUCUAGUACUAUUAUAUAAAUAUUCAUAAUAUAAAAUAGAAGAUACUUGACACUUGAAGUUUAAUUUGUAGUGAGAUUAAUUAGGUUAUUUUUUUUUAAUUAAUUUUGAUAUUUGUAAAUGUUCGGAUAAAAUUAAAUAAUAAUUAUUCAGUUUAAUUCAAAAUAUAAUUUUAUUAUUAAUAUUCAUAUAAUUUCAUUAAAAUAUUUUAAAUCUAUAUAAACUUGUCAUUACAUAAAAGAGAUAAAUAAAAAAAGUAUUUUUUUUCCCUUUGUUUUUUUUUUUAUUCUUUUAGUUUUAAAGAUGUUGUCUCGGUGUGAAAAUAAAAAUACUUUAAAAAUAAUGUUUUUUACCUAUUGAUUUUAGUUUUUAUUUGUUUCCAUAUCCAAAAUAUUUCCAACACAAACACCCUAAACAUUAACCAGCUAGGGAGGUGCACUUUAUGGUGAGAAUAUGUGAAUAACAUAACAGAAGUAGUUCAAUAGUAUGAAUUAAUUUCCCUUGUUAACAAAAAUAAAAUCUUUUAGGAAUUUAAAGAUCUUUUACACUUUUUUUUUUAUCCUAAUUAAAUUUUGGUGAACUAAUCCAUUAUCUUGUCAGAUAAAUCACUUAGUUUCAUUGGAAACUAACAGCAAAUAUUAGCAUUGUGUUCUGCUGCAUAAGCAAAAAAAUUCAAACGCGUAGAAAUAUUUUUGUGAAAUAGAUUCUAUUGUUAGUACGUAACUGUUGUUUAUUUAUGUUCCUGGACAGCAAAAUUUGAUAGAUGGGAGAGAUUCGUUCACCAUACUUUUCUAUUGAUCAAGAACACCUCGAAGAUAAUGCUGAAAUUCGUUCACCAUAUUUCUCAAGUGGUGGAGACUACCUUGGAGUUAAUGCUGAAAUUCGUUCACCAUAUUUUUCAUUUGAUACUCAAGAUUACCAUGGAGAUAAUGCCGGAGUUCAUUCCUCGUAUUUUUCAGCUGCAGACUACCAUGGAGAAGAUGCUGAAAUUCCUUCCGGAACAUUCUUUCACCAAGAUAAUAUUGUUGAGAAUCCAUACAAUCAAGAACACCAGUAUUCUUUUCAAAACACGUACAACGCAGAAAAGGUCAGUCAACAGUCAAAAGGUGAAGAACUGUACUCGGAUCUUGAAGCUGGAGCUGAACGUAAAAGCGGGAAUUAUUGUAUCUACAGAGUUCCUGAUGCACUUCGCAAAUCAAAUGAAGCCAUCUAUACUCCUCAAGAAGUUUCUAUAGGUCCUAUUCACCAUGGCAAGAAGAAUUUGCAGCCCAUGAAUACGCAAAAGCGGAGAUAUUUGAAAGAAUUCUGUAACAGGGUGGGGAACACAAGGGAGCAGCAUGUGAAGUUCCUGGAUGAAAUUGGACACCAUUGAAAACGAAGAGGAGAACAUCCGCCAAUGUUAUGAAGAUGGUUCUCAUGAAGUUGCAGAAAGUGAUCGGUUUGUGAAAAUGGUGUUGUUGGAUGCUGUUUUCAUCUUGGAGUACUUGUUGAGGAAUAAAGAUUCUAAAAAUAUGAAGAUGAUUCCUUAUUGCGUAGAAACGGGUUAAGGUUUCGGAUUCGACGAGACUUGUUGCUGCUCGAGAAUCAGUUGCCAUUCUUCAUUCUUGAGAUAUUAUAUGGCCAUCUUCUUCAAGACGGCGAAGGAAGUUAUACUUCUUUUCGAGAUCUUGCCUACGAGUACUUAAACAGGUACACUAGAGUCCAUACAAGCCGAGAGCGACAACGAGGAGAUAUUACAUUUCACCGAUUUGGUCAGAUCUUCAUUAUCCUUCAACCAUCCAGAUGAGGAGUGACGAACCGAUUGGAAAAUUUUAUAGCGCAACCAAGCUGCAUGAGGCAGCGAUUAAUUUUAAGGAAGUUCGAAAUGAAUGCUUACUUGACGUAAAAUUUUACUUCUACAAAAGUGAGUUACGUAUACCACGUCUUCAGAUAGACCACCACACUGAACUUCUCUUCGGAAAUCUCAUUGCCUUGGAGUGGUGUCAUUAUAAAGGAGAAGAGUACAUCUGCCAUUACGUUAAGCUACUUGAUACUCUUGUUGCCAAACCCAAAGAUGUGGCUCUCCUCAUUAAAAAUAAAUCAUUAAAACAGACAGAGAUGGUGCUUCAGUGAAGAAUCUGAUUGACAAGCUUUCGGCAGAAACUUCUGAAGAAUAUUCCAUUUACCUCUACAAGCAGCUGGAUCAACACUACCAGAAUCCUGGUUGAAAAAUAGCGCAUACUUUAGAGAGGUAUAUUUUGGAAACCUUUGGAGAAGUACUGCAACUGUUAGUGCAACUGUCUUGCUCCUCUCCACUCUUGUACAGACAAUUUGUGCAGUCCUUUCCUUGCGCUAGUACUCCAAGGGGACCAAGUUAGCCCCAAUCCGGUGUCAUUUUAUUUCUCUCAUUGUUGACUUUCGUUGUAUUGUUGUGUACUUUCCGUUUCCUUUGCAGUUUUUCAUUGUACUUCAACUCAUGGGCUUUCUUUGUAUUUAGUAUUCAUGACUUUGUAAUGGAUGCUGUCUUCACUAUCAAGUUCAUCCUGCAGAAUUCAACAAAUCUCCAUCGUAAAGAGUCAAAAAUUAUCUUAGGAAAGCAAAAAUUGAUAGUGAAGAUUAUCUUAGGACUUGAUACUACUCGAAAAUCAACUAACUUACUUCAUUGUUGAGAAACAGUAUGACAAGAGAUAUUACCCUACAUUUCUUCAGCUUAUCUAUAACUACCCUGCAGCGGAGGCAAAACCUCAUCCAAGGGAAGUAAGACAUUUCACUGAUUUGGUAAGGUGUUCUAUAUUGUUGAGAAAAUGAUGAUGAUGGUGAUGAUGAUAAGAUCAAUAGUGUAAAAGAAAAAUCCAACUGCUUUUAGCAGAAUUCAAGGUUGCCUUUCUAUGGUUGCACCUGUUGUCAUAGUACUAGGCAUUCAAAUCAACACAAAGAUCAUGAUAACAAGUAAAAUACUCAUUAAUUUGCUCGCAAAACAAUAAUAAUUAUUUUCAAGAGUAUUUUUAUUUUAAAAUAUAUAUAAAUAAUUUUUAAUAUCAACUGUUAAAUAAUAUUUUUCCUUACUUUUUUAUUUAAGUCAUUGAGAAUGUCUAUUAAUUUGAGUUAUUUUGAAUCUUUAUUACAAAGAAUAUUUUUAAUUAAAUUCUUUUGUCAAAACAAAAAAAUACAUAAAAAGGGCAAUGAAGACAUUGAUCUAAGAAAUGCUAUUUUUUUUUUUCUUUUAAAAUCCAAAUCUUUCUAACUCUUACGAAUAUUGAUUUUAAUUAUUAUAUGAUUAAAUAAAAAUUAGUUUUUGAAAUUACCCCCGCAACAUGAUGCUGGCGGAAAAGCUAUGUACGUUACUCUCUCUCUCUCUUUCGUCCUUUGACAGCUUGUUCAUUCCAGCAAAGAAACAACAGUGGGUGUGGUGGGGAUGGGACUUGGGAUUUUGGUGAACGAUGAUAAUCAGAUGUGGGGACAUUUUAUUAUAAAUAUUAUCUGAGCACCCUAUGGCAUAGCCCAUUGUAAUGAAGUGACUAAUGGCACGUAGGUGGGCCUUCAUUGAGUUCUUGGACUUGAUUUUUUUAAUAUUGUUUUUUAUAUUUUAAAGGGUUGAACAUCAAUUUUCUUUAAAAAAUACGUGAGCAAUAAGUCACCGGCUGAGGCAAGUAGCAUUUCAUCUACGAGCCUAAAUUUCUAACCACUAUGUGGAGUUGGUUGGAAAAUCAGGUUAAUAUUUUGUUUUUUCUUGAUAAAUUCAAUUUUUUAGCCAUUUGAAUUCAAAACACCUCAUGAAGAUUCUUGAAAUACUUAAAAAUCAAUUUAUCAAUCAAAAAUACUUUAAAGAUAUCCAAAAAUCCAAAAUUAAAUCAAGUUUGAUCUGACUUCCUCAUCUUAGAUAUGCUUUCAAAUAAUAUUGAGACUCUAAACAACAACAAUUAAGCCUUUUUUAUUGUAUGAAAUCUAAAAACAUGAAGAAAACUACUUUGAUGGUCGAUAAUAGUGUGAACAAUGACCUUCUUUUUCACCGCUAUACUUUAGCAAUCUCUCUCUCAUUUCUUUAAUCAAGGACUGAAAAUUAACACAAAUUAAUUUUUGUAUCAAAAUUGAAUAUGUGAUUUGAAGGGACCUAAAUUAUAUAAAUUAUAUUAUUUUUAAAGUUUGAGAACCUAAAUGUAUUUUUCGUAAAAACCCUAACAGGCCAUCUAUCUUUUGAUGUAUUUUUCAUUUCACUCCUUUUUUUCAAUUCCAUAAUCUUCCAUCUAUUUCACCUCUAUAUAUAUCAUCUCAUCAGCCUCUCGAGAGUCGACUUAUUUUAGAUAGAAAAAUAUUACUACCAGUCAAGAUCGAGGGAGCAAUGAGCUGGAUCCAUCUUUGCUUCUUGACAAUGACCCAUGCCGAGAAAAUACAGAGGAGAUGGAGAAUUAAUUAAUGGAGAGCAAUGCAAUCAGCUUUCAAAACGAGAGUAGUUUAUCUUGCCCUCCCUCUUGAAGCUUCAAAUGAAAUGGAUCUUUAAUGCCGUCGUUGUAAGGCCAAACUCGGUAACUAUACCGAGAUAUGGAUCAACUUUUUUUUUUUUUUUCUAAAAACAAAUUAAAAUUUAAAAUGCUAUUAUUUUAUUAAAAAAAUAGACAAUAUUUUAACUAAGCAAAGUUCUUAUCUUCUUCGAGUUAUUGAGUUAAACCAUAAGUCAGCUAGAUAUUACUUACUAAUUUAUCACUUAUCUUUUUGCACCAGGUUGGACAUAAGUUUUUUGAAAUAUAUAAAAAAAAUUUAGAUCAUCAGAAACUUUGAAGCAUUAUCAUUAAAUUUAGUAUAAUUGUUUAAAUUUAAAAAAUCUUAAUUUGACUAUUUUUUUAAAUAUUUAGUUAGUGUUUCAAGCUCGCAACAUGAAUUAUGUAUUCAAUUAACUUUGAUUAAUUUUUUUUUUAUUUGAUGAUAGAAAACAUAAAAAUUGAUUUAUCAUUAAAUCAAUACUCUUAGAUAAAAUUCAAUAAAAAUCUCAAAUUAAAUGAUGCAAUUAUAAAAAAAGGGGCAAAAGAUAUAAACAAAAGAGCCAAAAAAAUCUUGAUCCGAAUCUUUAAUUAAUAUUUAGCUAACUUUUAAUUUAAAUAUUGAUGCAAUGGACUUUACAUAUUGAUUUUUUUUAAUUUAUUAUAUGAUAAGACAAAAACUAAUUUACUAUUAAUCCAAUAUCAAUGAUAAAAUUUAAUAAAAAAUUCAUACUAAAUAAUGAAAUUUAAAAAAAAAAAAACAAUAUAAAAAAAUUAAAAAUCCCAACCAGACUUUUUAAUGAAUAUUUAAUUAACUCAUUAAAGCUACAAUUCUAGUUAUAAACUUUAUUGGUUUUAUUCAAGUUUUUAAUUUUAUUAUAUAAUAAAAAAUAAAAAAUUAAUUUAUUAUUAAGAAAACUAAGAUUGAAUAAAAACCCUUUAAUGAUAGGAGUAUGAAAAAAAAAUAUCCAAGAAAAAAAGCCCAGUCACCCUCAGCUUGUUCAUAGGAGCCAGGAAUGCGAACCUGAAAGUCGUCUCUGUUUGAUUUUAAAAAAAUAACAGCCACUGGCUUCUUUGCUACUGAAUUCUCGAUCGAAGAAGCAAAAUUAAAAAAAAAAAAAUCGAAUCCAAAACAGGAGUUAGUUGAAUUUGUUUUGACAAGAGAGAAAAGGAUAGUUAAACACAAAACAAGGAGAGAGAGAGAGAGAGAUGAGAGAUUUUUCAAUGGGGAACUUUUGACGAAAAAAAAGAAGAUAUUUUGAUGUAAAUUGCGGGGUCACAAAUUGAUUAUGAAUAUUAAGUUCUGUUUGGUAACGCAGUCUUCAAUUCUCCGUGUAUUUAAGAAAUACUGUUUUGUUUUGUUGGGUGUUUGAAAAUAUAGUUAUAAUUGCUUUUCAAAUAUAUUUUUACUAAAAAGAAUAUGUUAAUUUUUAUUUUUAAAAAAAUAUUUUUGAGAUUAGUACAUUAAAAUGAUUUGAAAACAUCAAAAAUAUAUUAAUAAAAAAAAAUUAAAUUUUUUAAAAAAUACUUUUAAAAUACAGCGCUAAACACGCUCCCACAGCAAACAACCAGAACUCCAGGUUGAAAAAUAGCGCAUACUUUAGAGAGGUAAUUUUGGAAACCUUUGGAGAAGUACUGCAACUGUUAGUGCAACUGUCUUGCUCCUCUUCACUCUUGUACAGACAAUUUGUGCAGUCCUUUCCUUGCGCUAGUACUCCAAGGGGACCAAGUUAGCCCCAAUCCGGUGUCAUUUUAUUUCUCUCAUUGUUGACUUUCGUUGUAUUGUUUGUGUACUUUCCGUUUCCUUUGCAGUUUUUCAUUGUACUUCAACUCAUGGGCUUUCUUUGUAUUUAGUAUUCAUGACUUUGUAAUGGACGCUGUCUUCGCUAUCAAGUUCAUCCUGCAGAAUUCAACAAAUCUCCAUCCUAAAGAGUCAAAAAUUAUCUUAGGAAAGCAAAAAUUGAUAGUGAAGAUUAUCUUAGGACUUGAUACUACUCGAAAAUCAACUACCUAAGGGCGGAGUCAUGAAUUUUUUUUAUCCUGGACUAUUAAAUAAAAAUAUAAAUAUAUUUUAAGAUCGAUUAUUAAUUCAUGUACAUUAAUUUUUAAAAUUAAUAUUAAAGUUUUAAUUCAAAUACAUUAUCCAAAAUAUUAAAAAAUAAAUUUGAAAGUAUAUAAAAUUAAGACGAAAGUAAAAAUAAACUCACUAUUAAAGUUACAUCCUUCGAUGUUUUGUGGAAUAUAAUUCAUCUAUAAUCGAAUCUGAAUCGAUAUUGUAACAACCCCUCAACCGGGAUAAAAUAACAAUCUCAUGUCAACUGGAAAAUAAAGUAAUUAAAUUUUUUUCCUCUUUUAAUUCCUUCUUCCUUCACUUGAUUCUUCCUAGAUUAGUGUUUUAUAAGUUGGACUUUGUAAGUUUACAAGGUUAUUUCUCACUUUUAUUUUUUUCUUGGAAUUUUUUUAUGUUUUUCCCUUACUUUUUUCUAUUUCUCUCUCGCCUUUUCUUUUCUUUCUUCUUCUAUUCUGCUUCUGCUCAGUCGGCAACAUAUAAAAGGAAGGAGGAGCUGAUUUGUUUUAUUUUUUAAUGGCAAAUAACCAUUUUACUCUUAAUGAGUCAUUUUGCUUUUAUUUGACGGUCUUUUUUUUGUUAGCACUACCAAGCUCCGUUCAUCCUAAACUCUUAACUAGAUUUUAUUCAAUAUAUUUUAAGAUCCCUCGUAAAAUUUCAACUCGAUCUGAUGGUCGGAUUGAAAAUUACAUCCAAUAACGUAAAACUGAUCAAAUUGUGAUUUUUCAUCAAAUUUCUAAAUUUCUCCAAAAAUUCUGAAAUUUUAACCCAAGCUAAAGCAUCAUAUUAGAAGGCUCCACGUAAAUUUUCAGAAUUUUUUGAUAACUUAAUUGAGAAUUAUAAAUUUUUUUACAUAAAACUAGUUAAAAAAUAUUGAUAAAAUCUUGACCUAGGCUAAAGCCCACCCCAGCCUUUACCAUGCCUCCGCCUAUUUACUACCUUACUUAAUUGUUGAGAAACAGUAUGACAAGAGAUAUUACCCUACAUUUCUUCAGCUUAUCUGUAACUACCCUGCAGUGGAGGCAAAACCUCAUCCACGGGAAGUAAGACAUUUCACUGAUUUGGUAAGGUGUUCUAUGUUGAUUGAGCCUAGUCCUCGAAACCUUGACUUUCCUAUUGAACUCAAAUAUAAGGCAACCACGCUCGUUAAGGCAGGAGUUAAGUUUGUAGUUGUUGAUAAUAACCAUCUGGUUGACAUAAGAUUUGAUAAUGGGGUGUUGAAAAUACCACGCUUGGUCACUGGAAAUUAACAUUUUCGAAUGUACAAUUCGAAAUAUUAUAUGGCCUUGGAGCAGUUCCAUUACUAUCCAAAUGCAACUAAUUACAUAUGCGAUCACUUGUCAAGACUGAAGAAGAUGUGGAUUUGAUUGUCAGCUGGCUAGAGGACAACGCUAUGGUACCAGAUUUGAUCAACCAACUUUGUGGAGGAUUUGGACAAAUUUACACUCGCCAUCGUCAUGUCCGUGAAGGAUUAAAUGCUUUUUUUUUUAAUGAAGAAUUUACAAGGACUAAUUAACACAACCAUAGAAGAGUAGUAACCUAGAAAGUAGAAACUUAUUGAAGAAAAAAUGAAUUAUAUAGGCAGCCAUGUUAGAGGUCUUAAGGAAUGUUGAAUAAGGUGCAGAAAUGCUGAGCAUUUUCCUCUUCAUCACAUAAACAUAUAUUUAGGGCAACGAACAGGUAUCUUCAACUUCCAUGGAGCCCUCGGGUCCGCAGUUAUUAGUAGAACCAAAAACCAACAGAGUUAAACUAAUUAAUUGAAUUUUUAUCGAUGUAACUAUGAGAUUAAUAUUUUAUCAAUGAUGAGAUCAAUAGUGUAAAAGAAAAAUCCAACUGCUUUCAGCAGAAUAUAACACUGCAUUAGACUGACAAAAACUACUCGGAAAACAAUCCUGCUACUACAGUAGCUUCAAACCGCCUGCUUCGAGCCUAUAGAAGCAACUGUAUUGAAAUAAACACCAAUUAUGGAGAACAUAUGGGAAACCAUAACCAGAUACUGACUGUAGUAAUAAAACUAGAUAAGCUGCUUUGGACCUAGAAGUGAAAUUAUUGAACAUACAGUCUGUAUCAAAGUGAGGAUCAGCAGGACAGCUGCAGCAACAGUUCCGGUACCUCUCCAAAGAUUGCUGAAAUAUACAAGUUUCAAGGUUGCCUUUCUAUGAUUGCACCUGUUCUCAUAGUAGGCAUUCAAAUCAACACAAAGAUCAUGAUAACAAGUGAAAAAUUCAUUAAUUUGCUCGCAAAGCCGGUUAAUCAAAUCGGCAACCAUGGCGUUGUUUCCUAGCCAGUUAUCAAUCACCCCCACUUUAACCAGCAAAUCCACAUCUUCUUCAGUGUUGAUAAGAUGGUCCAUUAACAUAAAGUAAUUGCAUAUGUAAGUACUAUAUGGGUAGUGGCACUGCUCAUAUGCCAUGAGGUUUCGUGUCACAUAUUCGAAGCUCUGAUUUACUUCAAAGCGUGGCAUUUUCAACACUCCGUUGACAAAAUUUAUGUCGAGUACACAACUGUUUUCAGUUGCCUCAAACUUCAAUCCUGCUUUAUGAAGCAUGGUUGCACUGUAUUUCAGUUUGACAUUGGCACUAGGACGACGAGGUAAUAUCUCCAGGGACUCAUUCAACAUAGCAUAUCUCAGAAAAUCAGUGAAAUGCUUUAUCCCUACUGAGUUGACUUUUGGUCUCUGUGAAAUCCUGUAGUAAUGUCCAAAGUAGAAGGCGACAAGCUCAGGAAAAGUCAGGCUAGCUUGUGUUUCAGGGUCUGGAUAGGUUUGCUCGUAUAUUUUCUCCAGAAUGAAAUAAGGUAGCUGAUUUUCAAGUAGUAUCAAGUCCACUUGUAAACCAAACAUCAUCCGAGGCUCAGGUAAUAUAGGAACUUCUUCACAGAAAAGGUUAAGGAACUGCAACAAGAAUUCGAUGACGAAUACAGCAUCCAACAGAAUCAUCUUUAAAAAUCACAGCUACGAUUGAAGUUAUAACAGCCUCGAAUUUCCAUUUCAUUCUUCUGAACUAUGGUCACAAGAUCGUCCAAUGUCACCUUCUUCCCAUCCAUGAAUUCUGCUAAAUAUCUCAAUUUCUGCUCCUCCAUUGACACUAGUUCCUCAUGGCCACAGUGAGCAGGGCCUAGUGAAACUACUUGUGGGGUGUAGGCUUUCGGUUCUAUGCUUCGAAGUGAGCGGGGUACCUCGUAGAUACAGUGCUCGGGACAUUUUCCAGGUUUGAACCUUGCUAUCCCAUCUGCUAGAUCUUUCAGAACAUUUGAAGCACUUGCCGCUUCAAUCUCCUUUCCCGUGUUUGAAGCACUUGCCUUAUCAAUCCUGUUUUCAUUAUUUGAACGUGUUGCCAUGCCAAUAUCCUUAUUUGAAGCACUUGGGGUAUUAAUAUUGUUUUCCAUUUGUCAACAGAUUUUUGUCCUGGAGAGACAGCCAAUUGAAUCACUGGCAAUAAAAAUAUAUCUCCAAAUCAAGUGUACCAUGGUUGCUACAAUCUUACAUUCAUUUCAAUUCACAUUUAAAACGAUUUAUUUUUGUUUUCCAGCCACUCUUAACAAGUUUUAAGACCAGAUCAAACAAAUCAAAACAAAACAACUGUAUAAGAAACUAUUUUCAAGGAAAGAUCAUGAAGUUGAAUGAAAAAUACAGAGCAAAUCAUGGGAGAUUACAUGUGUAUUAUGGCUAUUGUUAAUUUCCCAUCAUCCUGAUCCAUAGAUUAUAUAGAUGUGUCAUGUAGAGUACUUUUUAACAUUAUCUAUGAUAUGAUCUCGGCCAUGUGGAUCCGUAAUUUUAUCAUUGUUUUGAUUCAGCUCUAGCAAUUUAUUUGUUCAGUUUGUUCUGUGUUUAGUUUUUUUGUUUUGUUUUGUUUUAAUUAUGAAUGUGAACCUCCACUGGCCUUAAUUAAACCAAAUUGAGAUGUGGGAUUAAGUUAUGUCAUGGGAAGUAAGAAUUCUGCUUCAAGAUUGUCAAUUGAAUGUUUUAUGAAAAAAAUGUGAAUUCUCUAUUUUAUCAUGUAAUGAUCUAUCUGGGCAUUUCAUUGAUUUAUUAUUAUUAUUAUUGGUUGAAUUGAAGAUGAGGCAGAAUUCAUGAGAACUAAGAACAUCAUCAUAUACUAAAUUCUUUUAUUCUAUAUAUAUAUAUAUAUACACUAUUGUUUUUUGGUCCUCCAGCUUUAGCUUUCAAUUUGUUUUUCUAAGGAGUCAUAACCUAAUUUUGUAAAAUUUAACAACAAGAAAACCUAAAAAAAUAUAAGAAAAUCUGGACAAAACAGAUUAAAACACACCCAAGUGCAUAAAACCACGAAAACAUAACUUUUAAGGCCUAAUUUGAAAGGAACAAUAGUUAGGGAAACAAACUAUAUAAUUGAUUGUCGUCAAUUAACAACAAAAAAACCUAACAAAAUAUAAGAAAAUCUGGGCAAAACAGAUUAAAACACUCCCUAGCGAAUAAAACCACGAAAACAACUCUUCCUAGCUAAAGACCAUCUCUUUUUAGUGUUGUUCUGCAAAAAGCCAAAACUGUUUUCUGCCAAGUAUAGAACCAUUUUGGAAUAUUUAUUGCUGAAGCAAUGCAAUUGCCUUUUCCGAAGGAAAGUUGUGUGCUGGGAUAUUUCUACGUACACAAUUCCUUCGGAAGUAGUAUGUAUGGAUAUCCUACACAGCUUAUCAGCUGUGAUCUUACGAGAGAAUCUUAAUCUUUAGUUAUAAUGGAGCAAUUAACCUCGCAGGGUAGGGGAGAUCGGCCAAGUAAUCGAGAACUCAUGAGGGUUAAAGCCUAAAGGACGAACUUCAUUUAUCAUUAAGAAGUAAGAACCGCUAAAUUAAGGCUUAAUUGAAAACUUUAAACAAAUAUAGUGAAACAAAAGAUGAACAUGAACAGAAAGAAAAAAGAACAGUAAAAGUAGCUAGUGCGCAAAGAACCUGAGUGCCUUUACCUGAGGAAAGCAAUUGUUUUGUUGUAAGCAGCACGCAGCCCCUUCCCUGGAUAUUGCUAUACUGAUCUGUUGAAUGCAGCCUCCCUCUCUCACUCUCUAUGUCUCCCUAAUAUGUAUAAUAAACAAGUAGUAUUCUUCUCUGUCUACUUGUCAUUGUUUCUCUCUCGUUUGGAAAUUACCGUCUUUUGAUUUAUUUUUUAGCUUCCAUCCAUGGCUUUUCAUUUUUUAGCUUUUUAAAGGGCUGGACAUCAUUUCUUU